rnacentral:rRNA from 1 species
UACAGAGGUGGCAAGCGUUGUUCGGAAUUACUGGGCGUAAAGGGCGCGUAGGCGGUUUCGUAAGUCCCGUGUGAAAGCCCCCGGCUCAACUGGGGAAUUGCACGGGAAACUGCGAGGCUUGAGUUCGGGAGAGGGAAGCGGAAUUCCGGGUGUAGCGGUGAAAUGCGUAGAUAUCAGGAGGAACACCUGUGGUGUAGACAGCUUACUGGACGAUAACUGACGCUGAGGCACGAAAGCGUGGGUAGCAAACAGG